GUGAUUUACCUUGGUCCUGCCAUGGUUUCCAGGCUUCUCAGUUUAGUGUCCCUUUGUCUCCUGGGAGCAAAUGAGUCUUCAGAGCAUAUAGAAGCUGGAGUUACUCAGUUCCCCAGCCACAGCGUAAUAGAGAAGGGCAAGACUGUGACUCUGAGGUGUGACCCAAUUCCUGGACAUGAUUAUCUUUAUUGGUAUCGACGUGUUAUGGGAAAAGAAAUAAAAUUUCUGAUAUACUUUCUGAAAGAGUCUAUACAGGAUGAGUCCGGUAUGCCCAACAAUCGAUUCUCAGCGAAAAGGACUGGAGGGACAUAUUCUACUCUGACAGUGCAGCCUGCAGAACUGGAGGAUUCUGGAGUUUAUUUCUGUGCCAGCAGCCAAGACACAGUGCUUCACAGUCAUGUCCUUGCUGUGCAAAACCACAACCUUCUCCUCUCAACUCACAGCUGCCCAAAAGGAAGGCUUUCCCUGUGCCUCCUCCCCCAAGCGAGGAGAGAUAAAGAACCAGAAUUAACUCACAAAAUACAAGAGUAUUCCAAGAAGAUUUGGGUGAAAAUACUUGUGGUUUGGGAGAUCACUGAAGUUCUUUAAACAGAACUAAAUCUAUGUGUUUCUGGUUUUAUUUUUUAAAGUGUAUGUU